rnacentral:rRNA from 1 species
AUACGGAGGGGGCAAGCGUUGUUCGGAAUUACUGGGCGUAAAGGGCGUGUAGGCGGACGUUCAAGUUAGGGGUGAAAGGCCUGGGCUCAACCUGGGAACUGCCUUUAAAACUGAAUGUCUAGAGUACGGAAGAGGGUAGCGGAAUACCCAGUGUAGAGGUGAAAUUCGUAGAUAUUGGGUAGAACACCGGUGGCGAAGGCGGCUGCCUGGUCCGUAACUGACGCUGAUGCGCGAAAGCGUGGGGAGCAAACAGGAUUAGAUACCCUGGUAGGCCACGCCGUAAGCGAUGUGUGCUAGCCGUUGGGGCGCUUAGCGUCUCGGUGGCGUAAAGUUAACGCGUUAAGCACACCGCCUGGGGAGUACGGCCGCAAGGUUAAA